GACGAACGCUGGCGGCGUGCUUAACACAUGCAAGUCGAACGGAAAGGCCCUGCUUUUGUGGGGUGCUCGAGUGGCGAACGGGUGAGUAACGCGUGAGUAACCUGCCCUUGACUUUGGGAUAACUUCAGGAAACUGGGGUUAAUACCGGAUAGGAGCUCCUGUUCCAUGGUGGGGGUGGGAAAGUUGCGGCGGUGGGGGAUGGACUCGCGGCUUAUCAGCUUGUUGGUGGGGUAGUGGCUGACCAAGCCUUUGACGGGUAGCCGGCCUGAGAGGGUGACCGGCGACAUUGGGACUGAGAGAGGGCGCAGACUCCUACGGGAGGCAGCAGUGGGGAAUAUUGCACAAUGGGCGGAAGCGUGAUGAAGAAACGCCGCGUGCGGGAUGACGGCCUUCGGGUUGUAAACCGCUUUCGCCUGUGACGAAGCGUGAGUGACGGUAAUGGGUAAAGAAGCACCGGCUAACUACGUG
rnacentral:rRNA from 1 species